UCAGGCCUAACACAUGCAAGUCGAACGGCAGCACGGACUUCGGUCUGGUGGCGAGUGGCGAACGGGUGAGUAAUAUAUCGGAACGUGCCCAGUCGUGGGGGAUAACGUAGUGAAAAUUACGCUAAUACCGCAUACGAUCUAUGGAUGAAAGCGGGGGAUCGCAAGACCUCGCGCGAUUGGAGCGGCCGAUAUCAGAUUAGGUAGUUGGUGAGGUAAAGGCUCACCAAGCCAACGAUCUGUAGCUGGUCUGAGAGGACGACCAGCCACACUGGAACUGAGACACGGUCCAGACUCCUACGGGAGGCAGCAGUGGGGAAUUUUGGACAAUGGACGCAAGUCUGAUCCAAACAGAGCCGCGUGCAGGACGAAGGCCUUCGGGUU
rnacentral:rRNA from 1 species